rnacentral:tRNA from 1 species
CAGAAAGUUAGUCUAAACAAGACA